UAUUUUUUUCUCACCAAAAUACACAGCCAAAACUUCCUUAUUCUUGUCUUUGAUUUUUUUCCUUCUUUUUUGUUGUGAAGAGUAGUUUUAUAGAUUGAUUAAAUGCUCAAUUGGUGCAAAACUUGCCAACUGAAUGAAGCAAUCUUUUUAUGAAACAGAUUUUUGUUGAGUUUGAUCUUGUUCCACUAGCAAGUGCUUCCCUCGCAAAGGUUCAUGUUGCUCACAUGCAUGAUGGCAAAAAAGUUGUUGUAAAGGUGUGAAGAAGAAAGUUGAUAAAGUAAUGUCUGCAUUGAAGGAAUGGACUGAAAUUUCGUAUGGUUUCAAAAAGAAAACAAAGGUGUGUAUCUGAACUAUUGUGUUGUUGCCUCUUUGAUUUGUUAGAAAGGCACUACAAUAGGCAUUAGGUGAUUCUUUAAAAUAAAACUCAGUGGCACAUUUGAGUUUCAAGAAUGGUUAAAUGGGAGCAAUGAGAAAUAUGAAUAUGUCCAAAAGGAAAUACUAGAUGGUCCAAACAGUGGACCUAGCCUUUGGAUGCUAAUAUAUCUAAAGAGUCACUUUGAUCCAAGGAUCGGUGUGAUAUAAACUUCCACUGUCUGAACUGUAUGUCUCAAACUCAAGUGUUUUCCUAACAAGGCUUUAAAGGUGUUUUAUUCUUGUAAUCUUAUUCCAGUUCUGAUUCAACUGCUCCUAUUAAUCCAAACUAUCCAAAUUGUUUUGGUGAUUCUUUUUUAUUUUAAUCUUGUGUUAUUAUUAUUAUUAUCAUGGGUCAUUUGUUUCAUGUUUGGGAAAAUAUAGGGUUAGGUCAGUGAAGGAUACUUUGCUACUAGUUUUGAAAGGGAUAGGAGUCCUCUCUUGGGUUGUCAUGGUUCACCAACUGGAUUGGUAAGUAUUUACAUGCUUUGUUCGUUUGUUGUUAA